UAUCUAAAUUGUUACAAAUGGGACAGUAUAUGCACCAUUCCAGAUACCUAAUCACAGCUCAAUCGAUGCUGGAGUCUCUUUCCUUUUUCUUUCUGCAGAAAACAUGCUUUACAUAGGAUCUCUUAACUUAAAGAAUGGGAAGAAGAAAAAUCGUGUUUCCAGCUUGGGCUGCUGUUUCAUCUGCUGGACUUGCUUGAGCCCUGAAUGGAAAGGAUUACUAUGCACACUUUUUGGAUACAGAAACUGAGAUUCAGAGAGGUUAAACAACUUUCCUAAAGCCACACAGCGAGAGUCCAGCUGAACUGAAGAUUGUUUGACAUCAAAGCUCAUUUCUUUCCCUA